AGCGAACGCUGGCGGCAGGCCUAACACAUGCAGGUCGAACGGACCCUUCGGGGUUAGUGGCGGACGGGUGAGUAACACGUGGGAACGUGCCUUUAGGUUCGGAAUAGCUCCUGGAAACGGGUGGUAAUGCCGAAUGUGCCCUUCGGGGGAAAGAUUUAUCGCCUUUAGAGCGGCCCGCGUCUGAUUAGCUAGUUGGUGAGGUAAUGGCUCACCAAGGCGACGAUCAGUAGCUGGUCUGAGAGGAUGACCAGCCACAUUGGGACUGAGACACGGCCCAAACUCCUACGGGAGGCAGCAGUGGGGAAUCUUGCGCAAUGGGCGAAAGCCUGACGCAGCCAUGCCGCGUGGAUGAUGAAGGUCUUAGGAUUGUAAAAUCCUUUCACCGGUGAAGAUAAUGACUGUAGCCGGAGAAGAAGCCCCGGCUAAUUUCGUGCCAGCCGCCGCCGUAAAAC
rnacentral:rRNA from 1 species